UCGGAAAAUUAUUGAGAAUUUAGAAAUAUUUUUGUCAAAACAAGUCUAUAGUGUUUAAUUUAAUACCAGUGUUUAAAUCGGUUAAAAACGUUUCAGAUUUCUAGCUUUUAAAUUAAAAAAUAUAUUUGAAAAAAAUUUCAUAGGUUUAUAUGAAAUAACUGUAACUAUACGAAAAAACUAAAUUUAUGUAUAUUAUAUGCCCAUGCACUCUGCCC